rnacentral:tRNA from 1 species
GCCUUCGUUGUGUAACGGUAGCACAAUCGGCCCGUAUUCGAGAGGUCCAGGUUAGAGUCCCGACAAGGGCA